GGGUGAGAUUUUGUGAGUUUCCUUUGACAUGUUAUUUAUUGUUCACAUUGCAAUUUGUAGCAUAAUGUUUUGUGUUCUUGUGUAUGACCUUGUCUGUUAAAAUAAAUAAUGUUCAGUAGGUAACAGUCGUUCAUUUAUGCUAGCCUAGCUAAGUGUACAGCUCUGCAAAGUAUUCCAAGCAGAGAGAACAACGGUGAUUUUCCGUUAUUAGCCUGUCUCAAUACCUACUGAUUAACGUCUGCAUUGUCAGAAAGCCUUUCUCAAUCGAGUGAGCUGACUUCCAGUUGAGCCGGAGGAGACAUCAGGACGGAUACCAUAUCGUACCACACCUCUUGUUCGACUAGCCUCCUCCACUGUAGGAUUCCCUACUAUUCGGGGAUAAAAAAAAAAACAUUUAAGCGGUCAUCUUGAAUUUUUUCUUCACCUUUAAACGAAAUGGAUUAUGAAAAGACCUAAUCUGGAUUUUUUGGUGUGCAAGUGUUGUUGAAAGUCUACUGGCGGAGUUUGCUAACUUUUUGAGGAGGUCGCAUUUAAGUCUUUCUGGAGGGGAACUAACUCGGAGCCAAAAUGGAUCAAGCCAGCGGUGGGGAGGACCCGAAUAAACCCUCUAAAAAGAAAUCCAACGAAGAUGAGGGUAAAAACAAAAAGCUGAACAUACACAUAAAAACAUUGGCUGAUGAUAUGCGUGACCGUAUUACCAGUUUCAGAAAAACGGGGAUGAAGAAGGAGAAGCCCCUUAUACAGCACCCAACAGAUCCCCUCUCUACCCAGGCCGAGCUGCCUGUUCCUCAGCCCCUUUUCGAUGAGCGCUCCAUGAAUCUCUCUGAAAAGGAGAUCAUUGACCUCUUUGAGAAGAUGAUGGAGGACAUGAACCUGAACGAGGAACGCAAAGCACCCCUGCGUGAAAAGGACUUGAGCACCAAACGUGAGAUGGUGGUCCAGUACAUCUCAGCAACUGCCAAAUCUAUAACUGGGAGCAAAGUUGCGGGUGGACUAAGGAACAGCAAGCAUGAGUGCACGCUUUCAUCCCAGGAAUAUGUCCAUGAGCUGCGUUCCGGCAUCACGGAAGAAAAGCUGCUCAACUGCCUUGAGUCCCUCAGAGUGUCUCUCACUAGUAACCCUGUCAGUUGGGUUAAUAACUUUGGCCAUGAGGGUCUUGGUCUUCUCCUGGAUGCAUUGGAAAAGCUACUGGACAAGAAACAGCAAGAGAAUAUUGAUAAACGGAAUCAGCACAAACUUAUCCAGUGCUUGAAGGCUUUCAUGAACAAUAAGUAUGGACUGCAAAGGAUCCUGGGAGAUGAGCGGAGCCUGUUGCUGUUGGCACGAGCGAUCGACCCCAAACAGACCAACAUGAUGACAGAGAUUGUCAAAAUUCUCUCUGCUUUCUGUAUUAUUGGAGAAGAAAACAUCUUGGAUAAGAUUCUAGCUGCCAUGACAAUUGCUGCAGAGAGGAACAAUAAAGAGCGAUUUGCUUCAAUUGUGGAAGGACUGGAGAACCAUGAAGCCCAGCAACUCCAGGUCGCUUGCAUGCAGCUGAUCAAUGCUCUCGUCACGUCCCCCGACGACCUGGACUUCAGGAUACACCUACGCAAUGAGUUCUUAAGAUGUGGCCUCAAGAAGAUCCUGCCUGAGCUCAAAGAGACAGAGGAGCUAGACAUCCAGCUAAAGGUGUUCAAUGAAAACAAGGAAGAGGACUCUAUUGAGCUCUCUCAUCGCCUGGAUGACAUCCGUGCCGAGAUGGAUGAUAUGAAUGAGGUGUACCAUCUCCUGUCCAAUAUGGUGAAAGACACAGGCUCAGAGCCCUACUUCCUGUCAAUACUUCAGCACCUAUUGCUCAUCAGGAAUGACUAUUACAUCAGGCCUCAGUAUUACAAGGUGAUAGAAGAAUGCGUGUCUCAGGUGGUCCUGCAUCGCAGUGGGAUGGACCCUGACUUCGGCUACAGUAAAAGACUGGACGUGGACUUCACCCACCUAAUUGAUCAGUGUGUGGAUAAAGCCAAAGUUGAAGAGAGUGAACAGAAGGCUGCAGAGUACUCCAAAAAGUUUGAUGAGGAGUUCAGUGCACGGCAAGAGGCUCAGGCCGAGUCUCAGAAGAAGGAAGAGAGAAUCAAAGAGCUGGAGGAGAAGAUCCAGGCCCUGGAGUCCCAGUUAACUUUUGAAAAAGACAAGCUCAAAGAGGCUCAGAGGCUCAUCAGGGAAUCUGAUGCCAAGAUUGCAGCAGGUCCAGCUGUGCCCGGAGCACCACCUCCACCACCCGUACCAGGGGGUGCAGCACCUCCGCCUCCUCCUCCACCACCGCCUCCCCCACCUCCACCUGGUAGCUGCCCUCCCCCUCCUCCACCUCCUCCUCUCCCUGGCCACGCCUGCAAUCCACCACCACCUCCUCCUCCUCCAGGUGGAGGACCUCCACCACCCCCACCACCCCCUGGUUUUGGGCCUCCACCUCCUCCGCCUUUCUUCGGGGGCCCGGGUGGGCCUCCACCGCCUCCUGCAUUGCCUGUCAUCAAGCUGCCUUAUGGACUGGAGCCAAAGAAAACCUAUAAGCCAGAAACUGUGAUGAAGAGGGUCAAUUGGUCCAAGAUAGUGCCUCAGGAAAUGGCAGAGAAUUGCUUCUGGAUCAAAGUUAAAGAAGAGAAGUUUGAGAAUCCUGACCUAUUUGCACAGCUCUCCCUCUGCUUCUCCUCGCAGAGCAAAGUGAAAAAAGACAUAAAAGAUGAGACUGACAACAAAAUCCCACAAUUCAAGAAAAAGGCGAAAGAGCUUCGCAUCUUGGAUGCCAAGACGGCGCAGAAUCUUUCAAUUUUCUUGGGCUCGUUCCGCCUGCCUUAUGAAGAGAUCCGGGACAUUGUGCUGGAGGUAGACGAGGAAAGACUGAGCGAAUCACUCAUCCAGAACCUAAUAAAGAACCUGCCAGAGCAGAAAGAGCUGAGUGCGCUAGCGGAACUAAAGGGUGAAUAUGAAGAGCUGGUGGAGUCGGAGCAGUUUGGUAUAGUGAUGAGUUCGGUAAAACUCCUACGACCACGUCUCAACGGCAUUCUGUUCAAGCUGACUUUCGAGGAGCAGGUGAAUAACAUCCGGCCUGACAUCAUGAAUGUGACAUUCGCCUGUGAGGAGGUGAAGAAGAGCGAAGGCUUUAGUAAAUUCCUGGAGUUGAUAUUGCUGGUUGGCAAUUACAUGAAUGCUGGCUCAAGAAAUGCCCAGACGUUUGGUUUCAACAUCAGCUUCCUGUGCAAGCUCCGUGACACAAAAUCCAUCAGUCAGAAUACAACACUUCUUCAUUUCCUUGCUGAAAAGUGUGAAGAGCAUCACGAGUUGAUUAUGAGGUUUCCAGAUGAACUGGAGCAUGUGGAGAGCGCCAGCAAAGUGUCUGCUGAGAUCUUAAAAAGCAGUUUAACCACCAUGGAACGUCACAUUCAGAGGCUGGAGAACGACAUUGAGAACUUCCCCAAAACGGAUGACCCACAAGAUAAGUUUGUGAAAAAGAUGUCGAUAUCCUUUGUGUCGUGGACAUUUUCACACCUUGCUUGGUUUCACACUUAAUUUUAGUCCUCAAAAACAUAUGUAUUCUGGCAUAUUAGAAUGUUGUAUGUACCAUUUUGUCAACAGCAGCGUGUGCUGUUUGUGUUCAGCCUGGCAGAGGCAAGCAGUUUAAGUCACUUGGUGUGAUAGGUGGCACCCAAGGGAACUUAGGGAAUGGAUCUGGCUGCCUUGCUGUGAGAUGUUGAUCAGAUCUCCCUCUUCACUCCUCCCUGCGUCCCAAGAGUGAAAUCAUGCCUGUGGCUAUUUUUACUGCUCUCUGCCACAGCUGCCUGUCCCCUGGGGGACUCUAAUAGGGGCUCUAGCCCCUCACACCAACUUAUCGCCUGUCCCUGAUUUCAUCUCCUGACCGGCCAAAGGCUCUCCACACAACCAUCCAUGCACUAUCUUCUCUCAUGGCACCUCUCCUGUUUCGAUAACAGAGUGUUUCACUUAAACCCAAGCAUCUGUGCUCCCAAAUUGAAUUAGCCAUGUCUCUGCUCUUUCUUGAAUGCCCUUUUUGAGAGGAAAGGUCCUUGCUGUAUAGGUUUGAUCAAUGGUGGAAAUCACUCAAUACCUUGAGGCUAGGGUACCUUUCAUGGAAGAAAAACCAUGAGUGUCUUCUUUGUUUGUCUCCAGCAUUAUUGAGGACAGAAAGAACUACUCAGGAGUAAUUGAACAAGAAGCAGUGAAGGAGAACCACAAAAAGAGGGAGAUGGAGGAGAAGAUCAAGAGAGCCAAGCUGGCGAAGGAGAAAGCAGAGCGCGAGAAGCAGGAGCGCCAGCAGAAGAAGAAGCAGUUGAU